UACGAAGGGGGGCUAGCGUUGCUCGGAAUCACUGGGCGUAAAGCGCACGUAGGCGGGUCUUUAAGUCAGUGGUGAAAUCUCCGGGCUCAACCCGGAAACUGCCAUUGAUACUAUUAGUCUUGAAUUUUGUUGAGGUAGGCGGAAUAAGUCAUGUAGCGGUGAAAUGCUUAGAUAUGACUUAGAACACCAAUUGCGAAGGCAGCUUGCUAAACAAAUAUUGACGCUGAGGCACGAAAGCGUGGGGAUCAAACAGG
rnacentral:rRNA from 1 species